CUAUUAUGGUGUUGUGACUGUGUUCCUCGACAACCAACAAGUAACGUUUGAUUGGUGUGUUCAAAAUGAGGAAGCCACUGAAUCAGCUUACAGGAAACUAGCCAGUCAGUUUGGCCUGACUCCUCCUAAAGCAGGUAAUACUUUUAAGACAACAGUCCUGGAGAAUUUUAAGAGGUGUAAUUUCCCAUUACCAUUGGAACUCCCAGUUCACCAAGAUGAUCAGACCUUAUGCAAACUCCAGCUCAGUGGCUCUUUCACGUUUUACGACAAAGAUGGCUCCUCAAAGAAGAAACAGGCUGAACAUCAGGCAGCUAAGACUGCCGUGCAAAAUUUGUCAGGGAUCAUUAACUGCAGGUCUCUGGCCAAUGCUGGUGACAACUGGAUAGGAUUUCUGAAGGAACGUGUAGAUGCUCUUGGUCUGAAGCAACCUGAGUAAGAUUUUUCAUUAAAAAAAGUAUGCAUCAGUCAAGAA